GUUUUAAUAGCAUCUCAAUUGGAGGGCAAAAUAGAUUUGUGCUUCGCCGGAACCCUAAUUUGCUUCUCCGAUCACUCUGUCAGAUUGAUUCCCAGGAAAUGAUGCUCUAUCUUAUGCUGGGGGCUAAUUGAUGGAUCCAGACAGCAAGAAGUUUGGAAGAGGGCCAAGAGAGCUUGCAGGUGCGGUGGAUCUUAUUAAUCACUACAAGUUGUUGCCUCAUCACGAGUACUUCUGCAAGAAGCCUCUUCCAUUGUCAAUUUCAGAUACACGCUACCUUCACAAUGUUGUGGGAGACAGAGAGAUUAGGAAAGGGGAAGGGAUGCAGUUGGAUCAGCUUAUACAUGAUACGUCUUUUUUAAAAGAGACAAAUUCACGCAUCCAACCAUUUGAGUUAGAUGCUCUUAAUGAAGCUUUUCAACUACGUGAAGCAGCUCCAAUUGUUCUGCCUCCGUCUGAAAAAGGGAUCCCCACUGUAGCUGGAAAGUCUAAAAGUGAGUCGAAAGACAAGGAGAAGAAGCAUAAAAAGCACAAAGAUAAGGACAAGGAGAAGGACAAAGAGCAU
rnacentral:misc_RNA from 1 species